GCAGGUGGAAAAAGUAUGUGAACCCUUGGAUUUAAUAACUGGUUGAACCUCCUUUGGCAGCAAUAACUUCAACCAAACGUUUCCUGUAGUUUCAGAUCAGACGUGCACAACGGUCAGGAGUAAUUCUUGACCAUUCCUCUUUACAGAACUGUUUCAGUUCAGCAAUAUUCUUGGGAUGUCUGGUGUGAAUCGCUUUCUUGAGGUCAUGCCACAGCAUCUCAAUCGGGUUGAGGCCAGGACUCUGACUGGGCCACUUCAGAAGGCGUAUUUUCUUCUGUUUAAGCCAUUCUGUUGUUGAUUUACUUCUAUGCUUUGGGUCAUUGUCCUGUUGCAACACCCAUCUUCUGUUGAGCUUCAGCUGGUAGACAGAUGGCCUUAAGUUCUCCUGCAAAAUGUCUUGAUAAACUUGGGAAUUCAUUUUUCCUUCG
rnacentral:lncRNA from 1 species